AAAUAAUUAUUUAUACAUUAUGUUUACUUUUGUUAUGUUUCUUUUCCAAGUUUUUACAAAAAUGUUUAUUAAAGCAAAAUGGCUUGAACCUCCACAUUUAAUUGAAUAUGGUACAAUCCCAUCAAAUUGGGUAGAGAAAAGUAAUGACAGUUUAUGGGUCUGUUGGCCUAAAGUUGUGAAUGUAAAGCCAUUAAUUUUAAGCAGGCAGAUGCCAAAAAAAGAUUGGGCUAGGUUCAUUUUGUUAAAAAAAUAUGGAAGUGGAAGCAGCUUUUCUGAAUGUGAAAUGGUUCCCUCAGGUAAUGAUACAAAUGAAGAUACAGAAGAUGAAAAUUUGUUGAAGCAAAAUAACCGCUUUACAUUACCAUAUUUCAUGAGCGAUGAUGAUUUUGAUAACGAGGUUGCUCCUAAUCAAUCCAAAAAAAAAAAUUGGCUUGCAGCAGUGAUGAGGAGGCAGAGACCACAAUAGACAAUUUCCCAUUACUUCCCUUGUCACUACAAAAAUGUUCUUAAUUUUAUAUAAUUUAUUUAUGUAUUUAUUUGUUGUUGUGUUUUCACUACUUUUACAAGGAUUUUUUUUUGUGUGUCAUUAUAUUUGUAACCUAAACUUUCUGCAAUAAUAUUAACAAAUGAUAGAUAGUAUAACAAAUAACACACUUAGAAACACUGAACACAAAUUUAAAAGGAUCAGUGUGUAUUGUUUUUUAUGCUAAGUAUUUAUAACAAAUAAUAUCUAUUUAUAAAAAAGUAUACCAGGUAUGUAUUCUUAAGGUGUAGAAUGUUUUCAUUUUUUCUAAUAUUAAUUUGAAUUUCAUUUUCACUUAAAGUGCCUUCUAAUCGGACUUUGAUGACAAAAAAAAAGCAUAAAGUUGAUUUGGAGAUUGAACCAGAAUAUCAGCCUCAAGUAUCGUCAUUUAAAUCCAGUUCCCAGCAGCUAUGAUUGCAGUAGUAAACCUGUGAUUAGUUAUGACGCUGAUAAUAUCUCUGCUUCAUCACAAGAAGUUUUCCAGAAAAAUAUAACAAAAGAACUAAUGGAGGUGAAGCAAAAUCAAAAAGUUCUGAUGGAAAAGUUCUCAGGAGUACAAUAUACAAGAGAAAAUAUGGUUAAUAAGUUAGUCUUUGUUACUAUUGAUAAUGUUGAAGAUUUAGUGAAGUUGGAAACUGAAUUAGAAGACAAAAGUUUAUAUUUGCAGCUGUCCAGUCAGUUGCAACAACAAUUAAAGCAGCAGGAAACAGCCAAGUACACAUGCAAGUGAUAUGAUUCUAAUAGUUGAACAUCUGUCAGAUAUUUACCUUUUAAAUCAUAAUCUAAUUGCUCAAGCUUCUGAAAAGCUAUUUAUAAAAAUUCAACGGUUAAAGAUUAAAGAUUGUUAUGAGGAUUGCAAAACUUUUAAAUAUCAGAAACUGAAGAAAGCAUUGAUAAUCAGCAGAUAUCAAAAAAGCACAAAAGUACUGAUUAUACAACUCUUUUAAAGUUGAGGAAGAAUUUUAUGUUAAAGUUAAUGCAAAAGGUACGAAUAUUGACAGUUAAACCAUCACCACUUCCACAGCCACCUUGUCUCAAGCAUUAAAUCGCAUUCUAAGAUAUCUUUAUUCAAAUUAAGUGUGACUACUUUACCAAAAGACUCUAGAAUGGACCAAUCAACUAACCCAUCAGUACUUGCAAAGUCUCCUUUUCUGUAAGCCCAAAAAUUGAGUUCUAAAAUACCAUUAUCCACAUAACUACUAUAUCAAAGUACAAUCUAAUGGAUUGAUCAAUGAAACUGUCGGUAUCUCCACAACUUUUCAAUUAAAUAGAAAGUUUCAAUUAAACAGGAUACUGAGUGUGCCAGUGUGCCUACUGCUCCUCAAGACAAUGAAUAAUGGGAGUUAUCAAACUUUAUAUAUA